GACGAACGCUGGCGGCGUGCUUAACACAUGCAAGUCGAACGAAGUGGCGAACGGGUGAGUAACGCGUAAUCAACCUGCCCUUCAGAGGGGGACAACAGUUGGAAACGACUGCUAAUACCGCAUACUGAAGGAGGGGAUUGCGUCUGAUUAGCUAGUUGGAGGGGUAACGGCCUAACAAGGCGAUGAUCAGUAGCCGGUCUGAGAGGAUGAACGGCCAAAAUGGGAAUGGGCAACGGCCCAGAAUCCUACGGGAGGCAGCAGUGGGGAAACUUCCGAAAUGGACGGAAGGCGGGCGGAGCAACGCCGCGUGAGUGAUGACGGCCGUCGGGUUGUAAAGCUCUGUUAAUCGGGACGCGGUACCGGAAUAGAAAGCCACGGCUAACUACGUGCCAGUCGCCGCGGUAAUUC
rnacentral:rRNA from 1 species